UUAAGUUCAGCGGGUAGUCCCACCUGAUUUGAGAUCCGUGGGUUCUAUAAGGCAACACACGACACCUUCUAGAAGGUGAAGGGCGAGACCGGGUUAGAAGCGACGCUUCAUCCUCCCUCACACGUCGGCGCAGAUCAUGUUUAUCACACCGAGAGGCAGAGAGAGCAGACGAGCUCCGCUAAUGCAUUCAAGAGGAGCCG
rnacentral:misc_RNA from 1 species